GAUGAACGCUGGCGGCGUGCCUAAUACAUGCCAGUCGAGCGAACAGAUGAGGAGCUUGCUCCUCUGACGUUAGCGGCGGACGGGUGAGUAACACGUGGAUAACCUACCUAUAAGACUGGGAUAACUUCGGGAAACCGGAGCUAAUACCGGAUAAUAUAUUGAACCGCAUGGUUCAAUAGUGAAAGACGGUUUUGCUGUCACUUAUAGAUGGAUCCGCGCCGCAUUAGCUAGUUGGUAAGGUAACGGCUUACCAAGGCAACGAUGCGUAGCCGACCUGAGAGGGUGAUCGGCCACACUGGAACUGAGACACGGUCCAGGCUCCUACGGGAGGCAGCAGUAGGGAAUCUUCCGCAAUGGGCGAAAGCCUGACGGAGCAACGCCGCGUGAGUGAUGAAGGUCUUCGGAUCGUAAAACUCUGUUAUUAGGGAAGAACAAAUGUGUAAGUAACUAUGCACGUCUUGACGGUACCUAAUCAGAAAGCCACGGCUAACUACGU
rnacentral:rRNA from 1 species